UGUGUGUCUGUGAGUGACAGUGUGUGUGUCUGUGAGUGACAGUGUGUGUCUGUGUGUGUGUGUCUGUGAGUGACAGUGUGUGUCUGUGAGUGACAGUGUGUGUGUCUGUGAGUGACAGUGUGUGUGUGUCUGUGAGUGACAGGGUGUGUGUCUGUGAGUGACAGGGUGUGUGUCUGUGAGUGACUGUGUGUGUCUGUGAGUGACAGUGUGUGUGUCUGUGAGUGACUGUGUGUGUGUGUCUGUGUCUGUGAGUGACAGUGUGUGUGUGUGUGUGUGAGCACAGUGUGUGUGUCUGUGAGUGACAGUGUGUGUGAGUGACAAAGUGUGUGCGUCUGUGAGUGACAGUGUGUGUGAGUGACAAAGUGUGUACGUCUGUGAGUGACAGUGUGUGUGAGUGACAAAGUGUGUACGUCUGUGAGUGUAAGUGACAAAGUGUGUG